UAACGUGCUAUGUUAGUUGUUUACUGAUGUAUUUUCUUUACGAAGCCUUGUUAUUUUCCGGCGACAUGGUUAUAAAUAUUCUUUCAACUUAAGCCAGAUACAGUUAAAAGUAUUGCAUGUGAUAAAUGGUUAUUAUUCGCUGGCCAUCUAUACGUGGAACCAAGUGUAGGUGCAUAUUACGAGACGUUAGUGCUUGGGACAAUUUUCAUUAACCAAGCUUUGACCACGUGUUUGUUUGACUGUCUCCAGUGGUUUCCAGUCUGUAGAUUAAGCCAAUUAAGGGUUGAAAUGGCUCCAUUUUGGGAUUAACAGAUUAGCAAGAGGCCAAGAGCCCUCUUAAACGUAAGCACCGGAAGUUGUUCUGAAGCUGCUUUGGGUACUUCACAACAUAAUACUAACAAAACAAGAAAAAAAAUUCAAUGUCAGAAGUUUGAUGGAAGAUUUAUAGUGUUGUUCGCUUCAAUUUUGGCAUGGCAUGUUUCAUGCCUUUUAAGGUCUGAUUUUCUCAACGUUUUUUGGUAGGUAGUACAGUUUGCAAAUAAGGGAACUUUUGACACAGACCUUGAAACCUUUUCUUCUAUCAAAAGGAAUUAGCACUCUUCCUACAUCCAGCACGAUGAUCAGCAGCACUUUGAGACUAAGUCUUUACGAAGUAAAAAAAACUUAUUCAGCGCAAGUAACCAAUAAUCACGUUGGUAAGGUGAGUCAAAAUUAGUAGUUGGCAGUUGAGGUAAACCAAGAAGAAGAUGAAAAUUUUCAUGCUUUGUAUGAAAAUUCAAAAGAAUUUCAAUUCUUUCAUGUUUUGCUAAAUAUCUUGAAUGAACUAUUAUAUCGCAAUAAGCGGAAUAUCCGACGGAUGAGCCGAUUGUGGGAUCUUCAAUUGACUUACGAUUCCAUCAUUUGAGCUCGCCACGUUUUGAGGCAGCAACGUGCCGACAACAAUGAAGCGAGUUGAAGAUAUCGAAAGAAAGGACUAGGAGAAACACGUCAAAAUUGUCGAGGAUUACAUGUCAACCAGAUCUUUCACAGGGCUUUUUCAGCCACAACGUUGGUGGAAGAAUAACGCUGAAUUAGCCACACUGGAAAACAUCAAACGAAGAAAAAACAAAUCAUAUUGUUGGAAAAUGUCGUGUUACUUUAUUCUAGGUAAUUGUAUUUGUGCAAAUUGUUAAGCUAAUAAAACGAUCUUUAUCUUUUGUGAUAACAAAUUA